rnacentral:rRNA from 1 species
AGAGAGUGACGGGCGAUUUGUACAUAUUUUAGAAUCUUAAUUCAUUUUAUUUCUAUAAUCCUUAAAUAAAAUUACUUUUAAAUCCUUUUUAAUUAAUUUAAAAUUAAAUUAAAUUCAUCCAUAUUUUUUAUAGUAACCCAUAAUUACUUUAAUAAACUGCACCUUGACCUAACAUAAAAUUUAAUAAAAUUUAUAGAAAAUAUUUUUAAAUAUACUCAUGACAGCGGUAUACAAGUAAUAUAAAAUAAAGUAAAAUAUAGUUGUGGAAUAUCAAAUUAUAACACAGGUUCCUCUAAUAAGAUAAAAUACCGCCAAAUUUAUUAAGUUUAAUAUUUUUAAUAAAUACUACUUCAAUAAAAAUUUUAAAUUURUARUAACRGGGUAUCUAAUCCCG